AUGGUGGCCAUAAAGAGGAUGGAGAAAGUUGCUAGACUGAAUCAACUGUAGACUCCAGCUCCUUAUGAAAAGUGGAAAGUACAUGCUGGGUUACAAGCUGACCCUGAAGAUGAUCAGACAAGGCAAAACGAAAUUGAUCAUCCUCGCUAACAACUACCCAGCUUUGAGGAAAUCCAAAAUAGAGUACUAGGCCCUAUUGGCCAAAACUGGUGUCCGAUAUUAUUGCCACUACAAUGGCAAGAAUAUUGAAUUAGGCACAGCAUGCAGAAAAUACUAGAGUCUGUACAUUGUCUAUCAUUGAUCUCGGUGAUUCUGAGUUCAUUAGAAGCAUGGCAGAGAAGACUGGUGAAAAG
rnacentral:lncRNA from 1 species